GGGUCAGCGACUUAUAUUCUGUAGCAAGGUUAACCGAAUAGGGGAGCCGAAGGGAAACCGAGUCUUAACUGGGCGUUAAGUUGCAGGGUAUAGACCCGAAACCCGGUGAUCUAGCCAUGGGCAGGUUGAAGGUUGGGUAACACUAACUGGAGGACCGAACCGACUAAUGUUGAAAAAUUAGCGGAUGACUUGUGGCUGGGGGUGAAAGGCCAAUCAAACCGGGAGAUAGCUGGUUCUCCCCGAAAGCUAUUUAGGUAGCGCCUCGUGAAUUCAUCUCCGGGGGUAGAGCACUGUUUCGGCAAGGGGGUCAUCCCGACUUACCAACCCGAUGCAAACUGCGAAUACCGGAGAAUGUUAUCACGGGAGACACACGGCGGGUGCUAACGUCCGUCGUGAAGAGGGAAACAACCCAGACCGCCAGCUAAGGUCCCAAAGUCAUGGUUAAGUGGGAAACGAUGUGGGAAGGCCCAGACAGCCAGGAUGUUGGCUUAGAAGCAGCCAUCAUUUAAAGAAAGCGUAAUAGCUCACUGGUCGAGUCGGCCUGCGCGGAAGAUGUAACGGGGCUAAACCAUGCACCGAAGCUGCGGCAGCGACACUAUGUGUUGUUGGGUAGGGGAGCGUUCUGUAAGCCUGUGAAGGUGUACUGUGAGGUAUGCUGGAGGUAUCAGAAGUGCGAAUGCUGACAUAAGUAACGAUAAAGCGGGUGAAAAGCCCGCUCGCCGGAAGACCAAGGGUUCCUGUCCAACGUUAAUCGGGGCAGGGUGAGUCGACCCCUAAGGCGAGGCCGAAAGGCGUAGUCGAUGGGAAACAGGUUAAUAUUCCUGUACUUGGUGUUACUGCGAAGGGGGGACGGAGAAGGCUAUGUUGGCCGGGCGACGGUUGUCCCGGUUUAAGCGUGUAGGCUGGUUUUCCAG
rnacentral:rRNA from 1 species